rnacentral:lncRNA from 1 species
GCCACCCCUUGGUGCCUACUAAAGGCUCCUCUCAGCUUAGUCUUUAUGGACAGAAUCUUUCAGAAAUGUAUGACUUGCAGAGUCAUAAAGGCCCAAGGGGAGAGACUGCUGGAUAUCCUGCUUUACAUCUUCUAGCCAUCCUCUAAUAUCAUCAUCAUCAUUAUCACCUUCAUCAUCAUCAUCAUCAUCAUCAUCAUCAUCAUCACCAUCAUUAUUAUCGUUAUCAUCAUCAUCAUCAUCAUCAUCAUCAUCAUCACCAUCAUCAUCAUCAUCACCAUCAUCAUCAUCAUCAUCAUCAUCACCAUCAUCACCAUCAUCAUCACCAUCAUCAUCAUCAUCAUCAUCAUCAUCACCAUCAUCAUCACCAUCAUCAUCAUCAUCAUCAUCAUCAUCAUCACCAUCAUUAUUAUCGUUAUCAUCAUCAUCAUCGUAAUAUCUAUAAUUUAUAUAGCACUAUGUGCCAGGCACCGUGCUAAGCAUUUGCAGUUAUUAUCUCAUUUAAUCCUCUCAACAACACUGGGAGGGCUUUUUCCCGCAACUUAACCAGAAUGUGAACUAUGAGGCCAUUUCAUUUUCACCCAAUCUGCAGAACAUUUCCUCUCCAAUUUUCUCAAUAAUUUUUUUUCAAUUAAUGUUUUAUUCUUCCUUUCAAUCCCCACUCCCGGGGGAAAAUAAAGCUCCAUGUAACAAGAGGAAAAAACUGCUC